GGCAGGCGGCGCAGUAGUAGAAAAAUGGAGACAUGUUAAGACGAACGCAUUGUAAGACGCGCGAUACGAAGAAGACUGAGAAUAUAUGUAUCUUUUACCUGUCGUCUUGCGAGUCUAGUAAUUCCGAGUGUAAAACCCUUCCUGUCAAACCUCGUCCCGGUGGCUUCCCCGAAGAUCCGCGAAACUCACAACCACGAAAAAAAGCGUAGCGAAAACAAACGUUACAAUAUUUUAUAUAUUAACGUUAAAGUUGAUCAUUAUAAUUCAGGGCAAAGCGACAGAUUUUUCAUAUAGUGCAAAAAUUUCAUGUAGUGCAAAAAAAUACAUCGAAUGAGUCUAUUUUUUUUCCUCGAGGUGAGUUCUAACCAGCGGCGACGCAUCCGCCCGCGCCAGGACUAGCGGCGACGCAACCGCCCGCGUCAGGACCAGUGGAGACGUAGGACCUCAAACAACAAGAAAAACCCAGGCGUUGGCAGAAGAGCCGUGCCAGUCCAAACAGCGUCAGAUAUCGUCCCCAUAGGGAAGAUAGGAAAGAUAACCGACGCGGAGGCCGUGCAGGACGCGGAGACCGCGGAGGACGUGGAGGCCGCAGAGAACGUGGGAGGA